rnacentral:rRNA from 1 species
AUUGAACGCUGGCGGCAGGCCUAACACAUGCAAGUCGAACGGUAACAGGAAGCAGCUUGCUGCUUUGCUGACGAGUGGCGGACGGGUGAGUAAUGUCUGGGAAACUGCCUGAUGGAGGGGGAUAACUACUGGAAACGGUAGCUAAUACCGCAUAACGUCGCAAGACCAAAGAGGGGGACCUUCGGGCCUCUUGCCAUCGGAUGUGCCCAGAUGGGAUUAGCUAGUAGGUGGGGUAACGGCUCACCUAGGCGACGAUCCCUUGCUGGUCUGAGAGGAAGACCGACCACCAUGGAAACUGACACCCGGCCCAGACCCUGAGGGAGGGCAGAGUGGGGAAAUGUUGCACAAUGGGGGAAAGCUGGAGUCAGCAAUGCCGCGUGUAGGAAGAAGGCCUGCGGGUGGUAAAGAAUUUUAGGCGGGGAGAAAGGGGGUAAAGUUAAAACCUUGCUCAUUGACGUUACCCGCAGAAGAAGCACCGGCUAACUCCGUG